UUGAUGGGCAGCGGCUGUGGAGGAUAUUGAGAAAGUCCAAAAUGGCGGUCGCUGCCAGUUCGAGGGGACCCGGCAGGCCUUGAAUUUAGGGAGGGGAGAGAACAAGAGGGACUCUGGGCCCGGAAAAGUGCCGGGAGAUCCUAGAGAGGAGGAGGGGUAAGGCUGAGCAACCGGGCACCGGGGAGAAACGCUCCGGCUGAGCGGCCUGGUUCCCCCGCCCGUUAGGCCUGGUGCUCGAGCGAGGAGGAGGAGGAGGGGCCGGGCAUGGCCCCCUGAGGGGCCUCCCAGAGAGCAAGGAGCCGGUGGAGGGUAUGGAGUCCAGAGAGGAGCCGGUGGAACAGAGCGAAGGGUCAGAUCAAGGGACCUGGGGGGAGAAGGGCCCCCUUGGGGAUCAGGGCGACUGGGUGUCCCGUGGGGAGAAGGGGGAGAGGGGAAGCCGGGGCUCGAGGGGGGAACGUGGCCUUUCAGGGGAGAGGGGAGAACAUGGGGACUGGGGAGAGCGGACCUCCAGGAUGGAGAAAAGUGAACGGACUCUGAAGGGUGAGCGGGCUCCCCGGAGUGACAAGACCGACCAGGGCGAUGGGGGUCCCCGGGCUGAUCGAACUCUUCGACUGCCUCGAGCGUCGGACCAGGCAGAGCGCGGCUUGUGGGGUGCAGAGCAAGGCGAGUGGAUGGAGCGUGGCCCGUCCUGGGCUGGAGAUCCCGAUCCCCUGUUGCCUCCCGAGGACUUUUUGCCACCACCUGAGUGUCCUGUCUUUGAGCCCAGUUGGGCCGAAUUCAGUGAUCCACUAGGCUACAUUGCCAAGAUCCGACCCAUCGCAGAAAAAAGUGGUAUCUGCAAGAUCCGCCCUCCCGCCGACUGGCAACCUCCCUUUGCUGUGGAAGUGGACAACUUCCGGUUUACUCCACGGAUACAGAGGCUCAAUGAACUGGAGGCACAGACCAGGGUAAAACUGAACUAUUUAGACCAGAUCGCAAAGUUCUGGGAGAUUCAAGGUUCUGCACUGAAAAUUCCCAAUGUAGAGAGGCGUAUUCUUGAUUUGUACAGCUUGAGUAAAAUUGUGAUGGAGGAGGGUGGAUAUGAAGCCAUUUGCAAGGAUCGCCGGUGGGCACGGGUGGCCCAGCGACUUUCCUAUCCAUCAGGGAAGAAUAUUGGUUCCCUUCUUCGUUCCCACUAUGAGCGUAUUAUCUACCCAUAUGAAAUGUACCAGUCUGGUGCUAACCUGGUGCAGUGCAAUACUCACCCAUUUGAUAAUGAAGAGAAAGACAAAGAGUAUAAGCCUCACAGCAUCCCAUUGCGCCAGUCAGUACAGCCUUCCAAGUUCAACAGCUAUGGGCGGCGGGCCAAGCGACUGCAACAGGAGGAAUCCGACUCAUACCCUGAACCUGCGAGUUCCCCAGCUCUGUUACCUGAGCAAGCACAUCAAGCAUGGCCAGAGCCAACAGAGGAAGACAUUGAGAAGAACCCAGAAUUGAAGAAGCUGCAGAUUUAUGGCGCUGGCCCUAAGAUGCUGGGACUGGGGCUUGUAGCCAAGGACAAGAACAUGCGCAAGAAAGACAAGGAGAUGCCUGAAUGCCCCCCAACAGUGAUAGUAAAAGAGGAAGCUCCUGUUUCAGAAGUGAAGCUGGAACCCCCUUUACCCCGAGGCUAUGCAAAUAUGAAAGAAGAGUUGAGGCACAGUCCAGAACCUUGCACCAAGAUGACCAUGCGCCUCCGUCGCAAUCACAACACUCAGUUUAUUGAAUCUUACGUUUGUCGGAUAUGUACACGGGGAGAUGAGGAUGACAAGCUGUUGUUAUGUGAUGGCUGUGAUGACAACUAUCACAUCUUCUGCCUCUUGCCUCCUUUACCUGAGAUCCCUAAAGGUGUCUGGAGAUGUCCCAAAUGUGUCAUGGCGGAGUGUAAACGGCCCCCAGAGGCUUUUGGCUUUGAGCAGGCCACUCGGGAAUACACACUACAGAGCUUUGGGGAGAUGGCAGAUUCUUUCAAGGCUGACUACUUCAACAUGCCAGUCCACAUGGUGCCAACAGAGCUUGUGGAAAAGGAGUUCUGGCGCUUGGUGAACAGCAUUGAGGAAGAUGUGACGGUGGAAUAUGGGGCUGACAUUCAUUCCAAAGAAUUUGGAAGUGGUUUCCCCAUCAAUGAUGGCAAAAGGCAGCUCUCUCCAGAGGAAGAAGAGUAUGCAGCCAGCGGCUGGAACCUCAAUGUGAUGCCAGUGCUAAAGCAGUCAGUGCUGUGCCACAUCAAUGCUGACAUUUCGGGCAUGAAGGUACCGUGGCUGUAUGUGGGCAUGGUGUUCUCUGCUUUCUGCUGGCACAUCGAGGAUCACUGGAGUUACUCUAUCAACUACCUCCACUGGGGUGAACCUAAGACUUGGUAUGGGGUCCCAUCCUUUGCAGCUGAACAUUUGGAAGAUGUUAUGAAGAAACUGACCCCAGAGCUUUUUGAAAGCCAGCCAGACCUGUUGCACCAGUUGGUGACACUCAUGAACCCUAAUACACUCAUGGCUCAUGGCGUCCCUGUCGUCCGGACCAAUCAGUGUGCUGGAGAGUUUGUAAUUACCUUCCCUAGAGCUUAUCACAGUGGCUUCAAUCAGGGCUACAACUUCGCGGAAGCAGUUAAUUUUUGCACUGCUGACUGGUUGCCAGCUGGUCGCCGGUGCAUUGAGCACUAUCGGCGCCUUCGCCGUUACUGUGUCUUCUCUCACGAAGAGCUUAUCUGCAAAAUGGCUGCUUGCCCUGAAAAGUUGGACUUGAACUUGGCGGCUGCUGUACACAAGGAGAUGUUUAUCUUGGUCCAGGAGGAGCGUAAAUUGCGGAAGGCUCUCCUUGACAAGGGAAUCACUGAAGCAGAGCGAGAGGCUUUUGAGUUGCUUCCAGAUGAUGAGCGCCAAUGUGACAAAUGCAAGACAACCUGUUUUCUGUCGGCGCUGGCUUGCAACGAUUGUCCAAAUUGUCUUGUCUGCCUUUACCACAUCAAUGACCUCUGCAAGUGCCCCAGUAGCAGGCAGUACCUCAGGUAUCGGUAUACUCUGGAUGAACUCCCAGCCAUGUUACAUAAAUUAAAGGUCCGAGCCGAAUGCUUUGACACAUGGGCCAACAAAGUUCGCAUUGCUUUGGAAGUGGAAGAUGGACGCAAGAGAACCUUGGAGGAGUUGCGUGCCCUGGAAUCAGAGGCACGUGAGAGGAACUUCCCUGAGAAUGAACUUCUUCAUCGGCUCAAAGCCUGUCUGAGUGAAGCGGAGAAGUGUGUCUCAGAGGCCCUGGGUCUGAUAAGUAUCCAAGAAACAGAAGAGUCAUCAGUCCAUAUGACAGUAGAGGAAUUACGUGCCUUCCUAGAGCAAAUGACAAACUUGCCCUGUGUCAUGCACCAGAUAAAGGAGGUCCAGGAUGUGUUGGAGAAGGUGGAAGCUUUCCAGGUGGAAGUGCAAGAGGCCCUACAAGAUCUUUCAGGCAAUUCCCCAGAGUUGCACAAACUACUGGCACAAGGAACACGAUUAGGGGUGGAGGUGCCAGAGAUGGAGCUGCUGGAGAGGCAGGUGCAGCAGGCAGUCUGGCUGGAAGAGGUCAAGCAGACUCUGCGUUCACCCCAGGAUAAGGUUAUGCUAUCUGUCAUGAGAGCACUCAUCACCUCUGGCUGUGGACUUGCCCCUAGUCCUGCUGUGGAUAAGGCGAUGGCUGAGUUGCAGGAGUUGCUCACUAUUGCUCAGCGUUGGGAGGAAAAAGCGCAAAUGUGCCUGGAGGCUAGGCAGAAGCAUUUGCCAGCUACGCUGGAAGCCAUCAUCAAGGAGGCAGAGAACAUCCCGGUGCACUUACCCAAUAUCCUGUCACUCAAGGAGGCACUGUCUAAAGCACAGGCUUGGAUUGCUGAUGUGGAGGAGAUCCAGAAUGGAGACCAUUAUCCCUGCCUGGAUGACCUGGAGGGCCUUGUGGCUGUGGGUAGAGAUUUGCCAGUGCACUUGGAGGAAUUGCAUCACUUGGAAGUACAAGUAGUUACUGCACAUUCCUGGCGGGAAAAGGCCUCCAAGACCUUCCUCAAAAAGAACUCCUGUUACACGUUGCUUGAGGUGCUGUGUCCGUGUGCUGAUGCUGACUCAGAUAGUGUCAAACGCACUAAAUGGCAGCGGGAGAAGGAGCCAGGACUCUACAAUUCAGACACAGAGAGACUGGGCCUCUCAGCACAGGACCUCAGGGACCCUGGCUCUGUUAUCUUGGUCUUCAAAGAAGGCGAGCAGAAGGAGAAAACAGGGAUCCUACGCCUACGGCAGUCGAAUUCCCAGAAGCCCGUGCCGUCCGUGCAUAGUCCUUCUGGGAUCCAGUACUGUGUGUGUUCCCAGCCUCCCAGCCCUGCUAUGUUGCAGUGUGAACUGUGUCAGGACUGGUUCCACACCACCUGUGCAGCUUGGCCUCGCCUGGGCAAUCCUCGGCCUUCUCCGGCAUGGUGGGAGUGGGAAGCCAAAUUCCUGUGUCCUCUGUGCCAGCGGUCCCGCCGGCCCCGCCUGGAGACCAUCCUGGCUUUGCUGGUGGCUCUGCAGAAACUUCCGGUCCGGCUGCCCGAGGGAGAAGCCCUGCAGUGCUUGACCGAGCGAGCCAUUAUGUGGCAGGACCGCGCUCGCCAGCUCCUCGCCUCCUCCGAUGUAGUUGCUGCCUUGGGACAUUUAGCUGAGCUACGGCAACGGCUGCUUGGGGACUCGGCCAAGGACGCAGGUGCACUCAAAGAGAGCAGCUGCAAUGAACAAACAAAGAUUUCCUUAGAGAAUGGAGAUGCCACAACUCCAGAGAAGAACAGCUCCUGUGCCUCAGACCUGGAGAUGCUUUGUUCUUACCUGCCACAGCUGCAAGGCCCUGUCCUAGAGCUGGCAGAUGCCGUCCGCCUACCUUUAGAGGAGCUGCUAAUGGAAGGGGAUCUUCUUGAGGUGACGCUAGAUGAGAGCCAGAGCAUUUGGCGCUUGCUACAGGCUGCUUGUGCUCCCCAGCUUCACAAAUUCCAGCAGCUACUGGAUCUGGAGCAAGCAGAGCGGCGUGUCACCCGCGGGCGAGGCCGAGACUCAGAGCGACGGCGGAAACGCAAGACAGAGCGUGGUGACGGCCCAGUCCUGCCUAAGGAGGAAUUAGAGCCAAAGAAGAUCCGGGGGGCAGACGCGGUGCUGUCCCAAGGUGGCACUCCCCCUGCAGCAGGCACAGACAGUAGCCACAAUGGAGUUGGACAGUUGUGACGGCUAGAAGAUGCCUGGAUUUCUCCUUCCUGGACUAUACUGUACUGUAAGGGACUCUGGCAGCCCCAGGUCACUCAGUUGGCUUGAUUAGCACUCUGCAUGGGGAGGCGCCCAGCCCUAGAAGUUGUGGCUGCAUCUCCCCCCACUCCCCAGGACUUGGCACUGGCCCUGCAUCAGACUAUUUUUCAGAUGAUGUAAUAUUUUAUUUUCUUUUUCCUCCUUUUGUAUCGUCGAUAACUGCAGAAAGGGGAGGCGUUGCAGGGGUCACCAACGAGCAGGGCCCGCGUUCUCUUGGCAGAAGCAGCUGAGGGUAUCACCGUGUUGCUCUAAGGAUUGAAGCCUUGCAGAGAUCCGGCACAGGUGGUAAAAUGUGCCGGGACAUAUGCCCGGCUCCUCGCUUCAGGCAGUGAAAGGAGUUGGGGGGGGGGCUCUCUCUCUCUCUCUCGAGAGGAGAGUGUCCUCCUUUUUGUACCAGCAUUCCCUGGAUACUGCAGGGACAGCACCUCCUGUUGCACAGAGGGGCAGCUCUCCCUAGACACCCCUAUCCUCCUGGUACCUGUUGGGUUUUAUAGGAAUUGUGGUAACCACUUUAUUCUGUAGGGUGGUGGAAAAGGCAAGGAAUAUUUUAGUUCCACUCCAGCCACUACUCCACCCUCAUCGUCCCACCUCCAAAUCACGGGCCCCCUACUGCCUCAGGCUCUGACACUAAAAAAAACCUUUUGUCUUUCUCUUUUUAGUGUUUUCCUUUAUUUUCUCCAGCAGAGAAGGGUGGGAUGUUGGGGGUAGGGAGGGGUGUGUUAUUUUAUUGUAUUAUGAUUUUUUUAUUAUUAUUAAACUUUGGAGGUUAACAAAUUUACUUGGAUCUUGGGAUAAAGACGACCUGGUCAGUUAGAGUUGCUGGUGGCAGUUGUGAGCAUGCCCAGUUUCACACCACAUAUUGUCAGUACUGUAGCUUGUUUUCUAAUUUCCUACUAUGUAGGAGCAUGACCCUAGAGUAACGAGAAGCCCUGAGUAUCUGUUUCCUUGUUUCAAACCUGAAUUUUUGUAUCAUGGUUCUCAGUGAGGUGUAGUAUGAAAUGGUUCUUUCACAUUACUAAUCGUUGUUGUAGAUAAUUAUAUUUUGUUUUCUCUGAUUGUUAGAUACACAUAAUCAGAGAAUUGCAAUUCUUGCAAAAAUAAUAUAUUGCCAAUGACAAAAAGCUAAGAAUAUUAGGAACAAAUCUUUCAGACCAGUGAAAUGUAAUAAAAUUUCCUGAAAUAUUUCAGAAACAAACAAACAAACAAAAAAAAAACAUCCAGAGAAGUAGUAGGACCAGUAGGUGAAGACAAAAAAGUAGAAAUAUGAUAAGGCAAGUGAGUUGAGAAACACUGGAGUAGAACAUGAAUUUGUCAGUUUCAUUCCAGAGGAAUUUAAGAAUCUUUUUGGAGAAUGCACCUUUAAAGAUAUGCUAAGCAAAGGUGAUCAGAGGGUUCAUAAUAAUUAAAGGAGAAACUGUUAAUAUCGAAUGGGCUACAUAAUUAUUUAACCACGAUUUCUUAAUUUUAAUAUAAAAGUUUGAGCUAAAAUGUAUGACUUAUAAAAAGUGGCAUUUUCUGUA